CACCUGUAAUCCCAGCACUUUGGGAGGCCGAGGUGGGUGGAUCACCUGAGUCCCCCAUAAGCCACAGGUGAAUGCCACACAGGUACAGAGCAACUGAACCAAAGCCUUACUCCCCCAAGUCAUGAAUCCCUCACCUCCUUGAGCCGGGCAAUAGCAUCUCCUAUCUCUGGGUGCCCCAUCUCAUCCUCAGUCAGCACCCUAACGAUCUGGGAGAAGUGCUGAACGAAAUCCUGCUUUUCUUGGGCAUAAACAUCUGAAUUCUGGUCUCCGUUCAUUCUGAGGGAGGAGCAAAGGGCUCUAA
rnacentral:lncRNA from 10 species